rnacentral:rRNA from 1 species
UGCAGUCGAGCGGUAACAGANGGNAGCUUGCUACUUUGCUGACGAGCGGCGGACGGGUGAGUAAUGCUUANGAACAUGCCUUGAGGUGGGGGACAACAGUUGGAAACGACUGCUAAUACCGCAUAAUGUCUACGGACCAAAGGGGGCUUCGGCUCUCGCCUUUANAUUGGCCCAAGUGGGAUUANCUAGUUGGUGAGGUAAUGGCUCACCAAGGCAACGAUCCCUAGCUGGUUUGAGAGGAUGAUCAGCCACACUGGGACUGAGACACGGCCCANACUCCUACGGGAGGCAGCAGUGGGGAAUAUUGCACAAUGGGCGCAAGCCUGAUGCAGCCAUGCCGCGUGUGUGAAGAAGGCCUUCGGGUUGUAAAGCACUUUCAGUCAGGAGGAAAGGUUAGUAGUUAAUACCUGCUAGCUGUGACGUUACUGACAGAAGAAGCACCGGCUAACUCCGUGCCAGCAGCCGCGGUAAUACGGAGGGUGCGAGCGUUAAUCGGAAUUACUGGGCGUAAAGCGUACGCAGGCGGUUUGUUAAGCGAGAUGUGAAAGCCCCGGGCUCAACCUGGGAACUGCAUUUCGAACUGGCAAACUAGAGUGUGAUAGAGGGUGGUAGAAUUUCAGGUGUAGCGGUGAGAUGCGUAGAGAUCUGAAGGAAUACCGAUGGCGAANGCAGCCACCUGGGUCAACACUGACGCUCAUGUACGAAAGCGUGGGGAGCAAACAGGAUUAGAUACCCUGGUAGUCCACGCCGUAAACGAUGUCUACUAGAAGCUCGGAGCCUCGGCUCUGUUUUUCAAAGCUAACGCAUUAAGUANACCGCCUGGGGAGUANNGCCGCANG